CAAUAGCGUAUAUUAAAGUUGUUGCAGUUAAAAAGCUCGUAGUUGAAUUUUUGCUUGCCGCCGAUGUCGGGACUUCCGUACGUUCGGCGGCGUGCAUCCUUGGGUGGAACCUGUGUGGCAUUAGGUUGUCGUGCAGGGGAUGCUCAUCGUUUACUGUGAAAAAAUUAGAGUGUUCAAAGCAGGCUUACGCCGUUGAAUAUAUUAGCAUGGAAUAAUAAGAUAGGACCUUGGUACUAUUUUGUUGGUUUGCGCACCGAGGUAAUGAUUAACAGGGACAGUUGGGGGUAUUCGUAUUCCAUUGUCAGAGGUGAAAUUCUUGGAUUUCUGGAAGACGAACUGCUGCGAAAGCAUUUACCAAGGAUGUUUUCAUUAA
rnacentral:rRNA from 1 species